GAUCCUGGCUCAGGAUGAACGCUGGCGGCGUGCUUAACACAUGCAAGUCGAACGGACGAUGAAGAGCUUGCUUUUCAGAGUUAGUGGCGGACGGGUGAGUAACGCGUGGGUAACCUGCCUCAUACAGGGGGAGUAGCAGCUGGAAACGGCUGAUAAAACCGCAUAAGCGCACAGCAUCGCAUGAUGCAGUGUGAAAAACUACCGGUGGUAUGAGAUGGACCCGCGU
rnacentral:rRNA from 1 species